rnacentral:rRNA from 1 species
AUUGAACGCUGGCGGCAGGCCUAACACAUGCAAGUCGAGCGGAGCGGCGGACGGGUGAGUAAUGCCUAGGAAUCCGCCUGGUAGUGGGGGAUAACGUCCGGAAACGGGCGCUAGUACCGCAUACUAUCAGAUGAGCUUAGGUCGGUACAUCUAGUUGGUGGGGCAAAGGCCUACCACGGCGACGAUCCGUAACGGGUCUGAGAGGAUGAUCGUUCACACUAGAACGGAGACACGGUCCAGACUCCUACGGUAGGCAGCAGUGGGGAAUAUUGGACAAUGGGCGAAAGCCUGAUCCAGCCAUGCGGCGUGUGUGAAGAAGGUCUUCGGAUUGUAAAGCACUUUAAGUUGGGAGGCGUUACCAACAGAAUAAGCACCGGCUAACUUCGUGCCAGCAGCCGCGGUAAUAC